rnacentral:rRNA from 1 species
CUGUCUGAAUAUGGGGGGCCCAUCCUCCAAGGCUAAAUACUCCUGACUGACCGAUAGUGAACCAGUACCGUGAGGGAAAGGCGAAAAGAACCCCGGCGAGGGGAGUGAAAAAGAACCUGAAACCGUGUACGUACAAGCAGUGGGAGCACGCUUAGGCGUGUGACUGCGUACCUUUUGUAUAAUGGGUCAGCGACUUAUAUUCUGUAGCAAGGUUAACCGAAUAGGGGAGCCGAAGGGAAACCGAGUCUUAACUGGGCGUUAAGUUGCAGGGUAUAGACCCGAAACCCGGUGAUCUAGCCAUGGGCAGGUUGAAGGUUGGGUAACACUAACUGGAGGACCGAACCGACUAAUGUUGAAAAAUUAGCGGAUGACUUGUGGCUGGGGGUGAAAGGCCAAUCAAACCGGGAGAUAGCUGGUUCUCCCCGAAAGCUAUUUAGGUAGCGCCUCGUGAAUUCAUCUCCGGGGGUAGAGCACUGUUUCGGCAAGGGGGUCAUCCCGACUUACCAACCCGAUGCAAACUGCGAAUACCGGAGAAUGUUAUCACGGGAGACACACGGCGGGUGCUAACGUCCGUCGUGAAGAGGGAAACAACCCAGACCGCCAGCUAAGGUCCCAAAGUCAUGGUUAAGUGGGAAACGAUGUGGGAAGGCCCAGACAGCCAGGAUGUUGGCUUAGAAGCAGCCAUCAUUUAAAGAAAGCGUAAUAGCUCACUGGUCGAGUCGGCCUGCGCGGAAGAUGUAACGGGGCUAAACCAU